CGCCUGGGGAGUACGGGUGAGGUAACGGCUCACCAAGGCAUCGACGGGUAGCUGGUCUGAGAGGAUGAUCAGCCACACUGGGACUGAGACACGGCCCAGACUCCUACGGGAGGCAGCAGUAGGGAAUAUUGCACAAUGGGCGAAAGCCUGAUGCAGCAACGCCGCGUGCGGGAAGAAGGCCCUAGGGUUGUAAACCGCUUUCAGCAGGGAAGAAAAUGACGGUACCUGCAGAAGAAGGUGCGGCCAACUACGUGCCAGCAGCCGCGGUGACACGUAGGCACCAAGCGUUGUCCGGAUUUAUUGGACGUAAAGAGCUCGUAGGCGGUUCAGUUAGUCGGGUGUGAAAACUCUGGGCUCAACCCAGAGACGCCACUCGAUACUGCUGUGACUAGAGUGCGGUAGGGGAGCGGGGAAUUCCUAGUGUAGCGGUGAAAUGCGCAGAUAUUAGGAGGAACACCAGUGGCGAAGGCGCCGCUCUGGGCCGUAACUGACGCUGAGGAGCGAAAGCGUGGGUAGCAAACAGGAUUAGAUACCCUGGUAGUCCACGCCGUAAACGUUGGGCACUAGGUGUGGGUCUCAACCAACGAGAUCCGCGCCGUCGCUAACGCAUUAAGUGCCCCGCCUGGGGAGUACGG
rnacentral:rRNA from 1 species